AUUGAACGCUGGCGGCAGGCCUAACACAUGCAAGUCGAACGAGUGGCGGACGGGUGAGUAAUGUCUGGGAAACUGCCUGAUGGAGGGGGAAAACUACUGGAAACGGUAGCUAAUACCGCAUACCAUCAGAUGUGCCCAGAUGGGAGUAGCUAGUUGGUGGGGUAACGGCGCACCAAGGCAACGAUCCCUCGCUGGGCUGAGAGGCUGACCAGACACACUGGACAUGAGACAUGGUCCAGAUCCCGACGGGAGGCAGCAGUGGGGAAUAUUGCACAAUGGGCGCAAGCCUGAUGCAGCCAGGCGGCGUGUAUGAAGAAGGCCGUCGGGUUGUAAAGUACUUUCAGCGGGGAGGCGUUACCCGCAGAAGAAGCACCGGCUAACUCCGUGCCAGCCGCCGCGGUAAUAC
rnacentral:rRNA from 1 species